AGCAGCCGCGGUAAUUCCAGCUCCAAUAGCGUAUAUUAAAGUUGUUGCAGUUAAAAAGCUCGUAGUUGAAUUUCGGGGUUAGUAGGUUGGUCAUGCCUCUGGUAUGCACUGGUCUCACUGAUUCCUCCUUCCUGAUGAACCGUAAUGCCAUUAAUUUGGUGUUGCGGGGAAUUUGGACUGUUACUUUGAAAAAAUUAGAGUGUUUAAAGCAAGCUAACGCUUGAAUACAUUAGCAUGGAAUAAUGAAAUAGGACGUUCGAUCCUAUUUUGUUGGUUUCUAGGAUUGACGUAAUGAUUAAUAGGGAUAGUUGGGGGCAUUAGUAUUCAAUUGUCAGAGGUGGAAUUCUUGGAUUUAUUGAAGACUAACUUUUUCGAAAGCAUUUGCCAAGGGUGUUUUCAUUAAUCAAGAACGAAAGUUUGGGGAUUGAAGACGAUCAGAUACCGUCGUAGUCUUAACCAUAAAGUAUCCGGACUAGGGAUCGGAUGAUGUUAAUUUUUUAAUGACUCC
rnacentral:rRNA from 1 species